rnacentral:rRNA from 1 species
AGUGAACGCUGGCGGUAGGCCUAACACAUGCAAGUCGAACGGCAGCACAGUAAGAGCUUGCUCUUACGGGUGGCGAGUGGCGGACGGGUGAGGAAUACAUCGGAAUCUACUUUUUCGUGGGGGAUAACGUAGGGAAACUUACGCUAAUACCGCAUACGACCUACGGGUGAAAGCAGGGGAACUUCGGACCUUGCGCGAUUGAAUGAGCCGAUGUCGGAUUAGCUAGUUGGCGGGGUAAAGGCCCACCAAGGCGACGAUCCGUAGCUGGUCUGAGAGGAUGAUCAGCCACACUGGAACUGAGACACGGUCCAGACUCCUACGGGAGGCAGCAGUGGGGAAUUUUGGACAAUGGGCGCAAGCCUGAUCCAGCCAUACCGCGUGGGUGAAGAAGGCCUUCGGGUUGUAAAGCCCUUUUGUUGGGAAAGAAAAGCAGCAGGUUAAUACCCCGCUGUUCUGACGGUACCCAAAGAAUAAGCACCGGCUAACUUCGUG